GGAGGGUGCAAGCGUUAAUCGGAAUUACUGGGCGUAAAGCGCACGCAGGCGGUCAAUUAAGUCAGAUGUGAAAGCCCCGAGCUUAACUUGGGAAUUGCAUCUGAAACUGGUUGGCUAGAGUCUUGUAGAGGGGGGUAGAAUUCCAUGUGUAGCGGUGAAAUGCGUAGAGAUGUGGAGGAAUACCGGUGGCGAAGGCGGCCCCCUGGACAAAGACUGACGCUCAGGUGCGAAAGCGUGGGGAGCAA
rnacentral:rRNA from 1 species